rnacentral:rRNA from 1 species
AUGGCUGUCAGACCAUGGUGGUGCACUGUUGUUUCCUGGGAGGCCUUAGUUGAUGAAUGGUGUGAUGAUAAAUGGAUUGCGACAUCUAAGAAAAAUCGUGAUAAUCGCCUCAACUCUAAGUACAAGGCCCAUAGAGGUGGAUCUAAUUCCUUGACAACAGUUUGCCAAAAACUGGAUUCAUACAAAGAGAAGGUUGUAAGCAUGCAUUGUGAGGACUAUGAUUGGAAGCAUUCUCCUGUUGAACCACAAGCCCUUUAUGAAGUUGGUGGUGGGAAGCCACACGGAAAGUGGCCACUAUUGAAUGGUGUUGUGGAGGGUAAAGAGGCUCUUAGGGAGGUGCAGAUCAAACGCUCUUCGUCUUCGUCAAAGCGCCAACGACUAGAACAUAAUAAAAGGAUUGCCCAACAUAACGAGUUAAUGAAAAGACAUGCACAAAGUAUGGUUGAUUGGGGGAAAUCUGUGCAGACUACAGUGGAGAGUAGCCUUGGUGGUGUGCACAAGUUUCUAAUGACCAUCGCAUCCCUUCAAGGAAUUCCAGGGCCUGAGAUUCCAUGCAUUGUUAUACCCCCACCUCCAGCUUUUCCAACUUUAACCACUUCAUCUCCGAUCUUUUCUCCAGAAAUGCCCUCCACCGGCGAAUCAACACAUGAUGUUGAAAAUAUAGAUAAUACAUUGCGUGGAGCGGAAGAUGGAAUGUUUGGCGGCUUCUUUGAUGAAAAUGGUAAUGAUGCGAAUGGUGUUGUUGCUGGAACUCCCCCCCCCCACCUGGUGAUGAUUUACCUACAUUUUGAGAUAUCUCUCAUCAUGGGAAGAAGUGAUCUGAACUUUUUUGGUUGA